GUACAAAUAUGGAAACAUCAUCAUCAAUACCCCUUACAUAUAUGCAUCACUUUGUGGUUAACAAAACACUUUCUAUGUCACCUAGAGCCUAUGAAUAGCCUGGGAAGAAGGCAGGGCACAUUUACAGCAUUUGACUCUUGGAGAAACUAGAGCCCAGUGCAGGGAGGUGAUCCACCCACUGUGUUUCCACAGGAGCAAAAAGCUGGAAAUGAUUGAUGUGGGCUGUAAUUGGAGAAACACUCAGUAAGUUAUAGCAUACUGUAGCCAUUAAAAAGAAUAAUUAUGAGGACUUUUCAGACCAUAAUCUUCAGACCAAAAAUGUUAAUGACAGAGGAGGUCAGAGGAUGCACGUUUUAAAAAGGUUCUGGCUUCUCAAUUCAGAUUAUGGCUACCAGAUGAUGGCUCUUGGAUUAAUACCUGCCCCCUGUGUCUUUCAUGGCGGAGUCCUUGGCCAGUGACUGAUCAGUAAUAAUGGGUGAGGAGAAGGAGGGUGAGGGCUCCCACAGGCGCUGUUCCUCAGACCUCACACAGAAGUCAGCCUGCUCCCUGAUCCAGCAGGAAGAAGAAUUCUAGUACUUCUCUGAACAUCACCCCCAAUGCCCCAUUGGAAUCUGCUCUAAGAAGGGAUCCUGGAAGAGAAUACCCGUUUGCUUCUUCAGGGGCAGGUCAUUUCUCUCCCUGAGUCCCAGCCCAGCUCACCUUAUACCUCUCCCUGCUCCAUGGCGCCUCUCCUAAGGCUGAAGCCUGGGAGGCCAGUCCUCAUGAUGCCUCUCUAUCGAAAGUACAGGUUCCUCUGGGAUUCAGAAAAGCCACCAAAUGAAUGGAGACUUCCCUGUCUCCAAUGCCAACCAGAACUUGUCCACCAGGUAAGAUUCUGUGGGUCGGGAGACAGACUGCUAAGCUCCAGCUUCACACCAGAGAGGCCAUUGUAUAGGUGGGUAUUGGACAGAGAACAGAGAACCCUGUAGUUUCCAUCUGAUCCAGUUAUCAAUUGUUGCAUAACCAACGACCCCAAAACUUAGUGGCUUAAAACAACACAAUCAUUAAUUUUGCUCAUAAGUUGAUCAUUUGGAUGGUGCUCAGUGGGGACAGUUCAUCUUUGUGCCAUAGGGCAUCAGCUAGAUCUGCUUACCUGAAACAUGCCCUUAAGAUUCUUAGAGGACCUUGGGAGGCCGAGGCGGGCGGAUCACGAGGUCAGGAGAUCGAGACCAUCCUGGCUAACAUGGUGAAACC